ensembl:snoRNA
CAUCCCCUUUUCUCUUUGCCAAUUGAACCUUUAUAUCUUUAUUGGUCAUUCAAUUGGGGCAAAGGAACUAUCCUUUUAAUAUUCAGGCAAACUGAGUGUCUUGUAACUGUCAGAGGAAAAAAAA